rnacentral:rRNA from 1 species
AACGAACGCUGGCGGCAUGCCUAACACAUGCAAGUCGAACGAGACCUUCGGGUCUAGUGGCGCACGGGUGCGUAACGCGUGGGAACCUGCCCUUAGGUUCGGAAUAACUCCCCGAAAGGGGUGCUAAUACCGGAUAAUGUCUUCGGACCAAAGAUUUAUCGCCUUUGGAUGGGCCCGCGUUGCAUUAGCUAGUUGGUAGGGUAAAAGCCUACCACGGCAACGAUGCAUAGCCGGUCUGAGAGGAUGAUCAGCCACCCCGGGACUGAGACACGGCCCAGACGUAUACGGGAGGGAGCAGUAGGGCAUCUUCCGCAAGGGGCGAAAGCCUGACGGAGCAACGCCGCGUGAGUGAUGAAGGUCUUCGGAUCGUAAAACUCUGUUAUUAGGGAAGAACAUAUGUGUAAGUAACUGUGCACAUCUUGACGGGACCUAAUCAGAAAGCCACGGCUAACUACGUG